rnacentral:rRNA from 1 species
GGGUUGUGAGGUUAAGCGACUAAGCGUACACGGUGGAUGCCCUGGCAGUCAGAGGCGAUGAAGGACGUGCUAAUCUGCGAUAAGCGUCGGUGAGGUGAUAUGAACCGUUAUAACCGGCGAUUUCCGAAUGGGGAAACCCAGUGUGAUUCGUCACACUAUCAUUAACUGAAUCCAUAGGUUAAUGAGGCGAACCGGGGGAACUGAAACAUCUAAGUACCCCGAGGAAAAGAAAUCAACCGAGAUUCCCCCAGUAGCGGCGAGCGAACGGGGAGCAGCCCAGAGCCUGAAUCAGUGUGUGUGUUAGUGGAAGCGUCUGGAAAGGCGCGCGAUACAGGGUGACAGCCCCGUACACAAAAAUGCACAUGCUGUGAGCUCGAUGAGUAGGGCGGGACACGUGGUAUCCUGUCUGAAUAUGGGGGGACCAUCCUCCAAGGCUAAAUACUCCUGACUGACCGAUAGUGAACCAGUACCGUGAGGGAAAGGCGAAAAGAACCCCGGCGAGGGGAGUGAAAAAGAACCUGAAACCGUGUACGUACAAGCAGUGGGAGCACCCUUUUGGGUGUGACUGCGUACCUUUUGUAUAAUGGGUCAGCGACUUAUAUUCUGUAGCAAGGUUAACCGAAUAGGGGAGCCGAAGGGAAACCGAGUCUUAACUGGGCGUUAAGUUGCAGGGUAUAGACCCGAAACCCGGUGAUCUAGCCAUGGGCAGGUUGAAGGUUGGGUAACACUAACUGGAGGACCGAACCGACUAAUGUUGAAAAAUUAGCGGAUGACUUGUGGCUGGGGGUGAAAGGCCAAUCAAACCGGGAGAUAGCUGGUUCUCCCCGAAAGCUAUUUAGGUAGCGCCUCGUGAAUUCAUCUCCGGGGGUAGAGCACUGUUUCGGCAAGGGGGUCAUCCCGACUUACCAACCCGAUGCAAACUGCGAAUACCGGAGAAUGUUAUCACGGGAGACACACGGCGGGUGCUAACGUCCGUCGUGAAGAGGGAAACAACCCAGACCGCCAGCUAAGGUCCCAAAGUCAUGGUUAAGUGGGAAACGAUGUGGGAAGGCCCAGACAGCCAGGAUGUUGGCUUAGAAGCAGCCAUCAUUUAAAGAAAGCGUAAUAGCUCACUGGUCGAGUCGGCCUGCGCGGAAGAUGUAACGGGGCUAAACCAUGCACCGAAGCUGCGGCAGCGACACUAAGUGUUGUUGGGUAGGGGAGCGUUCUGUAAGCCUGUGAAGGUGUACUGUGAGGUAUGCUGGAGGUAUCAGAAGUGCGAAUGCUGACAUAAGUAACGAUAAAGCGGGUGAAAAGCCCGCUCGCCGGAAGACCAAGGGUUCCUGUCCAACGUUAAUCGGGGCAGGGUGAGUCGACCCCUAAGGCGAGGCCGAAAGGCGUAGUCGAUGGGAAACAGGUUAAUAUUCCUGUACUUGGUGUUACUGCGAAGGGGGGACGGAGAAGGCUAUGUUGGCCGGGCGACGGUUGUCCCGGUUUAAGCGUGUAGGCUGGUUUUCCAGGCAAAUCCGGAAAAUCAAGGCUGAGGCGUGAUGACGAGGCACUACGGUGCUGAAGCAACAAAUGCCCUGCUUCCAGGAAAAGCCUCUAAGCAUCAGGUAACAUCAAAUCGUACCCCAAACCGACACAGGUGGUCAGGUAGAGAAUACCAAGGCGCUUGAGAGAACUCGGGUGAAGGAACUAGGCAAAAUGGUGCCGUAACUUCGGGAGAAGGCACGCUGAUAUGUAGGUGAAGCGACUUGCUCGUGGAGCUGAAAUCAGUCGAAGAUACCAGCUGGCUGCAACUGUUUAUUAAAAACACAGCACUGUGCAAACACGAAAGUGGACGUAUACGGUGUGACGCCUGCCCGGUGCCGGAAGGUUAAUUGAUGGGGUUAGCGGUAACGCGAAGCUCUUGAUCGAAGCCCCGGUAAACGGCGGCCGUAACUAUAACGGUCCUAAGGUAGCGAAAUUCCUUGUCGGGUAAGUUCCGACCUGCACGAAUGGCGUAAUGAUGGCCAGGCUGUCUCCACCCGAGACUCAGUGAAAUUGAACUCGCUGUGAAGAUGCAGUGUACCCGCGGCAAGACGGAAAGACCCCGUGAACCUUUACUAUAGCUUGACACUGAACAUUGAGCCUUGAUGUGUAGGAUAGGUGGGAGGCUUUGAAGUGUGGACGCCAGUCUGCAUGGAGCCGACCUUGAAAUACCACCCUUUAAUGUUUGAUGUUCUAACGUUGGCCCCUGAUCGGGGUUGCGGACAGUGUCUGGUGGGUAGUUUGACUGGGGCGGUCUCCUCCUAAAGAGUAACGGAGGAGCACGAAGGUUGGCUAAUCCUGGUCGGACAUCAGGAGGUUAGUGCAAUGGCAUAAGCCAGCUUGACUGCGAGCGUGACGGCGCGAGCAGGUGCGAAAGCAGGUCAUAGUGAUCCGGUGGUUCUGAAUGGAAGGGCCAUCGCUCAACGGAUAAAAGGUACUCCGGGGAUAACAGGCUGAUACCGCCCAAGAGUUCAUAUCGACGGCGGUGUUUGGCACCUCGAUGUCGGCUCAUCACAUCCUGGGGCUGAAGUAGGUCCCAAGGGUAUGGCUGUUCGCCAUUUAAAGUGGUACGCGAGCUGGGUUUAGAACGUCGUGAGACAGUUCGGUCCCUAUCUGCCGUGGGCGCUGGAGAACUGAGGGGGGCUGCUCCUAGUACGAGAGGACCGGAGUGGACGCAUCACUGGUGUUCGGGUUGUCAUGCCAAUGGCACUGCCCGGUAGCUAAAUGCGGAAGAGAUAAGUGCUGAAAGCAUCUAAGCACGAAACUUGCCCCGAGAUGAGUUCUCCCUGACUCCUUGAGAGUCCUGAAGGAACGUUGAAGACGACGACGUUGAUAGGCCGGGUGUGUAAGCGCAGCGAUGCGUUGAGCUAACCGGUACUAAUGAACCGUGAGGCUUAACCUUACAACGCCGAAG